AAAACACCAAUGGGUUUUAUAAAACAGUAUUGACAUGUUGGCUCGAUUUGUUUCGAAGGUGUAAAUAAAAUAACUAAUAUUUUGUGGUCUGAAAAAUCAAUAGAUUAAUGUCUAAAAAAAAUAAUGAACCGACAGAAAACUCUGAGAUCUGUCCAAGCCGAUGUUUCUUCUUUUCUGUUCGAAGAAAGAAAGUCAAUUGAGUUAUGAGCGUUUUUGCAUCCAAUCCAGGCUAAAAUCGAUCCGUGCAAGGCUCGUUUUAAGCAAAUAUGAUUAUAGGCGGAGACUUUUAGCACAACCGGACGAAGUAAAGUGGAGUACCGACUUUGGAUAAAAUACAACAAAGUUGGAUGAAGCAUGAAGUCUAAAACAGUAAAGAUAUAAUGGAGUCUUAGAUUUUAUCACCCUGCAUUAUAUUGUUGUGUAUAAUAGAAAACACCUACUAAUCAACUGAUUAUGUCUACAUGUUGCAUAGAUUUUAUCACCCUGCAUUAUAAAAAUAUAAUAGAGCUAUAAUAUGUGCCUUUUUUGUCAAAAUAUUCAGUAUAGAAAUAGAAUGAUUUGAUUACCUUUGAAUCAGCAAAGAUGAUUUCGAGAGAUUCACCAAAGGAUGUGUUGAAUUGUAAUACACCAGUCGCUUCUGCGAUGCUUCAUGUGUGAAAGGGUUAUGCUUUGGAAUCGAAGCUUUUGUUGAAUUUCUAAUGGCAAGCAUGGUGAUGAAUUUAAUAUGGUGAUGAAUAGAGGAAAACGACAUGAAAUAUAUAUCAGCAAAAGAAAAAUACAGCUACUGUACGGGUGGAAUAGAAUAAUAACUAUGUAAUGGUGAUGAAUAGAGGCAAACGACUUGAAGUAUAUAUCAACAAAAGAAAAAUACAGCUAUGGUAUGGUGAAAUAUAAUAACAGAUAUAUUAUGUAAUGAUAGAAUAAUAGCUAUAUUGAUGUA